rnacentral:rRNA from 1 species
UGCUUAGGAAUCUGCCUAUUAGUGGGGGACAACAUCUCGAAAGGGAUGCUAAUACCGCAUACGUCCUACGGGAGAAAGCAGGGGACCUUCGGGCCUUGCGCUAAUAGAUGAGCCUAAGUCGGAUUAGCUAGUUGGUGGGGUAAAGGCCUACCAAGGCGACGAUCUGUAGCGGGUCUGAGAGGAUGAUCCGCCACACUGGGACUGAGACACGGCCCAGACUCCUACGGGAGGCAGCAGUGGGGAAUAUUGGACAAUGGGGGGAACCCUGAUCCAGCCAUGCCGCGUGUGUGAAGAAGGCCUUUUGGUUGUAAAGCACUUUAAGCGAGGAGGAGGCUACCGAGAUUAAUACUCUUGGAUAGUGGACGUUACUCGCAGAAUAAGCACCGGCUAACUCUGUGCCAGCAGCCGCGGUAAUACAGAGGGUGCAAGCGUUAAUCGGAUUUACUGGGCGUAAAGCGCGCGUAGGUGGCCAAUUAAGUCAAAUGUGAAAUCCCCGAGCUUAACUUGGGAAUUGCAUUCGAUACUGGUUGGCUAGAGUAUGGGAGAGGAUGGUAGAAUUCCAGGUGUAGCGGUGAAAUGCGUAGAGAUCUGGAGGAAUACCGAUGGCGAAGGCAGCCAUCUGGCCUAAUACUGACACUGAGGUGCGAAAGCAUGGGGAGCAAACAGGAUUAGAUACCCUGGUAGUCCAUGCCGUAAACGAUGUCUACUAGCCGUUGGGGCCUUUGAGGCUUUAGUGGCGCAGCUAACGCGAUAAGUAGACCGCCUGGGGAGUACGGUCGCAA